rnacentral:lncRNA from 1 species
AUAAAUGCUCUCAAAUUGCGUCACAAGCAAUAAAUGCUCCGCAAAUGUUUCACAAGCAAUAAAUGCUCCAUAACAAUUCACAAAUCAUAUUUCACAGGUAUCAAUAGCAACUAAUGGGGUUUAGAUCGAAUGCGAUAAAAUACACUCUCGCCUAAGUGCCCAUUUUUCAUAGUAAACUCAUAUUAGUAUUGAGUUACACACAAACCCUGAUUACUCACCUAAAGAGCAAGUAUAACAAGAGAAAGUAUGGAAAUGAAUUCAAGUCGCCAACUAGUGGGCCCCACCGGCUCCGUCUAACUCACCACCGUCUUGACACCCCGAGAAAGGUAGUAGCUUAGGUUUUUUUCUUCCAAAACAACUCCACCAAGUCCUUGAAACACCCUUAGCAAAUCACUUUUAUGGAAAAAUUCAAUAUUUAAUCGAUUGGUUUGCAAGAUCCAAGCAAGAAAUGAAAGAUAUAAGUUGAAGGUU